rnacentral:lncRNA from 1 species
GCAGUGUGCCUAACAUAUUACCUGAUAUUUUACCAUUAGCGGGUUUCUCUCUUGGCUAAAGGACUGUAGAGAAAGGAACAGCUACAUCUGCCUAGAGAAAUCCAUACAGAAGAGGGAAAUGCUUGUGCUGAGGCUUGAAAGAGGAGGAAACACUGGCUCCAUGAAGCCUUCAUCGACCCUCAAGGAUUGCUCCUUCCUGUCCUUUAUUUCCAUUGAUAAGAAAAAGCUGUCUGUAACUGAUUUCCAGGCCGAAGUACAAGAACAGCUUCCCACUGUCGCUAGUCUCUGGGUGCCUCAACAUCCCUUGUUUGUUUCUUUAACCUGCUUGUAACCUGUAGGCGCGGAGUUUAUUACCUGUUUUCUUGUGAGAAGACAAACUCAGAGUGGAAGAGAACUUGUCCCAGGUCACCCUUGGUGGAGGUGAGCUCAGAUCAGCCUGACCUCACAACCCAACAAGAAGCAGUGCAAGCAGGAAAUGUGUACAUUCUAUAGUCCAUUCAUCCAAGUUGACAAGAAGAAACCUCAGGCAUGAAGACAGAACAAGCAUUUCUCAACAAUACAAAGUGAUAAAGCGUCAAAAUGAGCUUCA